AUACUUACCUGAUCAUGAGGGUGAUUUUCCCAGGGUGAGGUUUAUGCAUUACACUCCAGAUAUACCGAACCCUGCAAUUUCUCCAAAUGUGGGAAACUCUACCUCAUAGUUUGUGGUGGUGGGUGAUUGUGUUCUCACUUUCCCUUA
ensembl:snRNA U1 U1 spliceosomal RNA